UUCCAUAUCCAGCACCACGAAG
rnacentral:siRNA from 1 species